rnacentral:snRNA from 1 species
UCUCUUGUGCUCGGGCAUGUACUGUCGCCAGUGAGGUCUUUACCGAGGCACAGUCUUUUGCUGAUUGCAAAUUACACAUCCGAACACGUCUGUCGGCUCCGGCCUUCAGCAAUUUUUGGCAACCCCCCUCGUCCUUGCAUCUUUCUGGGA